AGAGUGAACGCUGGCGGCAGGCCUAACACAUGCAAGUCGAACGGGUCCUUCGGGACUAGUGGCGGACGGGUGAGUAACGCGUGGGAACAUACCCUUUGGUACGGAAUAGCCUCGGGAAACUGGGAGUAAUACCGUAUGUGCCCUUCGGGGGAAAGAUUUAUCGCCAAAGGAUUGGCCCGCGUUGGAUUAGGUAGUUGGUGGGGUAAUGGCUCACCAAGCCGACGAUCCAUAGCUGGUUUGAGAGGAUGAUCAGCCACACUGGGACUGAGACACGGCCCAGACUCCUACGGGAGGCAGCAGUGGGGAAUCUUAGACAAUGGGCGCAAGCCUGAUCUAGCCAUGCCGCGUGAUCGAUGAAGGCCUUAGGGUUGUAAAGAUCUUUCAGAUGGGAAGAUAAUGACGGUACAUCAGAAGAAGCCCCGGCUAACUCCGCGCCAGCAGCCGC
rnacentral:rRNA from 1 species